AUACACAAACUGAAAAAUCUGCCUGCUGCAGGCGGGAUGUUAGGGAAAAACCUCAAUUAACUAAACAUAUAAAUCAUUUACUACUCACCGGGGAAAGUUUCAGUCUCACCAGGGCAAAGAUAACUCAGAUAAGGCAAAGAGAGCAAAUGUCAAUAAACAAUUACAGUAAGUUUUUCUGAGUCUUCGAGGCAGUCGGUGAUCAGCAAAGUGCUCCUGGACUUUCAGAGGAGGAAAACUCAGUCUUCGAUGAAAGUGAUUGGAGCAGGCUAGACGGGAGAAGAAUUUGACCUGGAAGCUAGAAGGCUGGCAUGGUGUCACACACACUCCAGACCCUUCCCAGCAAGUUCUGCCUCCCACCCCCAAGGUUUUCAGAGCAGAGUCUCUGAAGCAAGCAUCCUUAACCAGAUGAGGAAACAGGCUCUGUGAAAAUAGAUCCUCCAGUUCCGGAAUGAACGCUCAGGAAAGCCUUUCUCCAGGAAGCAGCAGCAGCAGCAGCAGCAGCAGCAGCAGCAGCAGCAGCAGCAGCAGGCAGCUGAGACUGAGGCUCAGAGAGAGAGCCUCUGCCUUCCUGAACUCAAAGUCCUCAUCAUAGGGUUUCAUCUGUUGCCAGGCCCAGGACUUGCCACAUUUCCUCUAUUGGAUGAUGUAGUAAGAUGUCUAACUUGGGGCUCUCCUGCAAUAAAAUGUCAUUUCCCAGCCUGCUGCAUGUCCUGACCUUUCUAGGACUUUAGCCCAAGCUCAUACAGUCUUUUCAUUCUUCCCACACCUGAGAGCUAGCUUCCCUAAGAGCCCCUGCCAUAUCCCAAUGUCCCUAGACAGGAACCUCACAAGGGAACUGAGUUAAUCCAAAUGGGAAAGGGAUCAAGGGUCUUAGAAAGAAGAGCUACAGGGUUUGACUUCCCAGUUUCUUUUGAGUUUUCUCAUUUGGAAAUGAUUCUUCA
rnacentral:lncRNA from 1 species